UGGGGAAUAUUGCACAAUGGGCGAAAGCCUGAUGCAGCAACGCCGCGUGAGUGAUGAAGGUCUUCGGAUUGUAAAGCUCUGUCUUUUGGGACGAUAAUGACGGUACCAAAGGAGGAAGCCACGGCUAACUACGUGCCAGCAGCCGCGGUAAUACGUAGGUGGCGAGCGUUGUCCGGAUUUACUGGGCGUAAAGGGUGCGUAGGCGGAUGUUUAAGUGAGAUGUGAAAUACCCGGGCUUAACUUGGGUGCUGCAUUUCAAACUGGAUAUCUAGAGUGCAGGAGAGGAGAAUGGAAUUCCUAGUGUAGCGGUGAAAUGCGNAGAGAUUAGGAAGAACACCAGUGGCGAAGGCGAUUCUCUGGACUGUAACUGACGCUGAGGCACGAAAGCGUGGGUAGCAAACAGGAUUAGAUACCCUGGUAGUCCACGCCGUAAACGAUGAGUACUAGGUGUAGGAGGUAUCGACCCCUUCUGUGCCGCAGUAAACACAUUAAGUACUCCGCCUGGGAAGUACGAUCGCAAGAUUAAA
rnacentral:rRNA from 1 species